UCGAGCUCCUCUUAAGGGAGUAAGGUUUUUAGAACUUGCAGAAUGGGAAGAAUUCUUUUCUUCUGAUUUUCUGGGAUAAGAAAAACUAGUAGACUCAGAGACAGAUCUUGUGGAAAACCGGCCUCUCAACUCCUCAGCCUUGAGAUUGACCAAUAUGGAGUGGUGGAUGACGUAGCUGGAACCAGUUCCAUCUAGGACCUUCCACAAGCAUCUCAGAGGUAAAGAAGUCCUUGAGGAUACUCUCGCCGUGUUUAAAUGAGGAAA
rnacentral:lncRNA from 12 species